rnacentral:rRNA from 1 species
AUUCCAGCUCCAAUAGUGUAUAUUAAAGUUGUUGCAGUUAAAAAGCUCGUAGUUGGAUUUCUGGCGGGAGCGAUCGGUCCUUCACUCAGUGUUGGAACCUGAUUGUCUCCUGCCAUCCAUGGAGAAAACUUAUCUGGCAUUAAGUUGUCGGGUAGGCAAUCUCCAUCUUUUACUGUGAAAAAAUUAGAGUGUUCAAAGCAGGCUUAUGCCGUUGAAUAUAUUAGCAUGGAAUAAUAAGAUAGGACUAUGGUACUAUUUUGUUGGUUUCGAACACCGGAGUAAUGAUUAACAGGGACAGUCAGGGGCACUCGUAUUCCGCCGAGGGAGGUGAAAUUCUCAGACCAGCGGAAGACGAACCACUGCGAAAGCAUUUGCCAGGGAUGUUUUCAUUA